GAUGAACGCUGGCGGCGUGCUUAACACAUGCAAGUCGAACGGAACACCCUAGAAGGAGUUUUCGGACAACUGAUAGGACUGUUUAGUGGCGGACGGGUGAGUAACGCGUGAGUAACCUGCCUUGGAGUGGGGAAUAACAGUUGGAAACAGCUGCUAAUACCGCAUAAUAUAUCUGGGUCGCAUGGCUCUGGAUAUCAAAGAUUUAUCGCUCUGAGAUGGACUCGCGUCUGAUUAGCUGGUUGGCGGGGUAACGGCCCACCAAGGCGACGAUCAGUAGCCGGACUGAGAGGUUGGCCGGCCACAUUGGGACUGAGACACGGCCCAGACUCCUACGGGAGGCAGCAGUGGGGAAUAUUGGGCAAUGGGCGCAAGCCUGACCCAGCAACGCCGCGUGAAGGAAGAAGGCUUUCGGGUUGUAAACUUCUUUUCUCAGGGACGAAGCAAGUGACGGUACCUGAGGAAUAAGCCACGGCUAACUACGUGCCAGCAGCCGCGGUAAUACGUAGGUGGCA
rnacentral:rRNA from 1 species